rnacentral:rRNA from 1 species
GAUGAACGCUGGCGGCGUGCCUAAUACAUGCAAGUCGAGCGAACAGACGAGGAGCUUGCUCCUCUGACGUUAGCGGCGGACGGGUGAGUAACACGUGGAUAACCUACCUAUAAGACUGGGAUAACUUCGGGAAACCGGAGCUAAUACCGGAUAAUAUAUUGAACCGCAUGGUUCAAUAGUGAAAGACGGUUUUGCUGUCACUUAUAGAUGGAUCCGCGCCGCAUUAGCUAGUUGGUAAGGUAACGGCUUACCAAGGCGACGAUGCGUAGCCGACCUGAGAGGGUGAUCGGCCACACUGGAACUGAGACACGGUCCAGACUCCUACGGGAGGCAGCAGUAGGGAAUCUUCCGCAAAGGGCGAAAGCCUGACGGAGCAACGCCGCGUGAGUGAUGAAGGUCCUCGGAUCGUAAAACUCUGUUAUUAGGGAAGAACAAAUGUGUAAGUAACUAUGCACGUCUUGACGGUACCUAAUCAGAAAGCCACGGCUAACUACGUG